rnacentral:rRNA from 1 species
AUUGAACGCUGGCGGCAGGCUUAACACAUGCAAGUCGAGCGAGCGGCGGACGGGUGAGUAAUGUCUGGGAAACUGCCCGAUGGAGGGGGAUAACUACUGGAAACGGUAGCUAAUACCGCAUACCAUCAGAGGGGCCCAGAUGGGAUUAGCUAGUAGUGGGGGUAAUGGCUACCCUAGGCGACGAUCCCUAGCUGGUCUGAGAGGAUGACCAGCCACACUGGGACUAAGACACGGUCCAGACUCCUACGGUAGGCAGCAGUGGGGAAUAUUGCACAAUGGGCGCAAGCCUGAUGCAGCCAUGCCGCGUGUAUGAAGAAGGCCUUCGGGUUGUAAAGCACUUUCAGCGAGGAGGCGUUACUCGCAGAAGAAGCACUGGCUAACUCCGUGCCAGCCGCCGCGGUAAUUG